CGCUGGCGGCGUGCUCAACUCAAUGCAAGUCGAACGAACCUUCGGGUUAGUGGCGGACGGGUGAGUAACGCGUGAGAAUCUGCCCUCAGGAGGGGGAUAACAGCUGGAAACGGCUGCUAAUACCCCAUAUGCCGCGAGGUGAAAUGAAUUUCGCCUGAGGAUGAGCUCGCGUCUGAUUAGCUAGUUGGUGUGGGUAAUGGCUCACCAAGGCAUCGAUCAGUAGCUGGUCUGAGAGGAUGAUCAGCCACACUGAGACUGAGACACGGCCCAGACUCCUACGGGAGGCAGCAGUGGGGAAUUUUCCGCAAUGGGCGAAAGCCUGACGGAGCAACGCCGCGUGAGGGAUGAAGGCCUCUGGGCUGUAAACCUCUUUUAUCAAGGAAGAAGAUCUGACGGUACUUGAUGAAUAAGCCACGGCUAAUUCCGUGC
rnacentral:rRNA from 1 species